GUUUGAUCAUGGCUCAGGAUGAACGCUGGCGGCGUGCCUAAUACAUGCAAGUCGAACGGUUGGUCGCAAGACCGAUAGUGGCGAACGGGUGAGUAACGCGUUGGUGACCGGCCCUAAAGCGAGGGAUAACAGUCCGAAAGGGCUGCUAAUACCGCAUAAUCUGGUGGACGGCUAGAGAGCUACCAGGAAAGCCGGACGCUUCGUAAGAAGCGCUGGCGCUUGAGGAGGGGCCUGCGUCCCAUCAGCUAGUUGGUAAGGUAACGGCUUACCAAGGCGAUGACGGGUAGGGGACCUGAGAGGGUGACUCCCCACAAUGGAACUGAAACACGGUCCAUACACCUACAGGUGGCAGCAGUAGGGGAUAUUGGUGAAUGGGCGAAAGCCUGAACCAGCAACGCCGCGUGUGCGAAGAAGGCCUUCGGGUCGUAAAGCACUUUUUCACGGGAAGAGGAAGGACGGUAUCGUGAGAAUAAGCCUCGGCUAACUACGUGCCAGCAGCCGCGGUAAAACGUAGGAGGCGAGCGUUAUCCGGAUUUACUGGGUGUAAAGCGCGUGCAGGCGGUUGGAUAAGUUGGGUGUGAAAGCUCCUGGCUCAACUGGGAGAGGUUGCUCAAGACUGUUCGACUGGAGCGUGGUAGGGGAAGGCGGAAUUCCGGGUGUAGUGGUGAAAUGCGUAGAUAUCCGGAGGAACACCAGUGGCGAAAGCGGCCUUCUAGACCAUGACUGACGCUCAGACGCGAAAGCUAGGGGAGCAAACGGGAUUAGAGACCCCGGUAGUCCUAGCCGUAAACGAUGUGAACUUGGCGGCGGGUGGGUAAAACUACUCGGUGCCGAAGCAAACGCGAUAAGUUCACCACCUGGGGACUACGGCCGCAAGGUU
rnacentral:rRNA from 1 species